rnacentral:rRNA from 1 species
GAUGAACGCUGGCGGCGUGCCUAAUACAUGCAAGUCGAGCGAACAGACGAGGAGCUUGCUCCUCUGACGUUAGCGGCGGACGGGUGAGUAACACGUGUAUAACCUACCUAUAAGACUGGGAUAACUUCGGGAAACCGGAUCUAAUACCGGAUAAUAUAUUGAACCGCAUGGUGCAAUAGUGAGAGUCGGUUUUGCUGUCACUUAUAGAUGGAUCUGGGCCGCAUUAGCUAGUUGGUAGGGUAAAGGCUUACCAAGGCGACGAUGCGUAGACGAAGUGAGAGGGUGAUCGGCGACCUGGGAGCGGAGACGCGGUCAAGGGUCCUACGGGAGGCAGCAGUAGGGAAUGUUACGCAGUGGGCGAAAGCUUGGCGGAGUAACGGGGCGUGUGUGAUGGAGGUCUUGGGAGCGUAAAGCUCUGUUACUGGGGAAGAACAAAUGUGUACGUAACUAUGGACGUCUUGACGGUACCUAAUCAAGAAGCAACGGCUAACUACGUG